GGGAAUCUACCGUGCCCUGCGGAAUAGCUCCGGGAAACUGGAAUUAAUACCGUAUACGCCCUACGGGGGAAAGAUUUAUCGGGGAAGGAUUGGCCCGCGUUGGAUUAGCUAGUUGGUGGGGUAAAGGCCUACCAAGGCGACGAUCCAUAGCUGGUCUGAGAGGAUGAUCAGCCACAUUGGGACUGAGACACGGCCCAAACUCCUACGGGAGGCAGCAGUGGGGAAUAUUGGACAAUGGGCGCAAGCCUGAUCCAGCCAUGCCGCGUGAGUGAUGAAGGCCUUAGGGUUGUAAAGCUCUUUCACCGAUGAAGAUAAUGACGGUAGUCGGAGAAGAAGCCCCGGCUAACUUCGUGCCAGCAGCCGCGGUAAUACGAAGGGGGCUAGCGUUGUUCGGAAUUACUGGGCGUAAAGCGCACGUAGGCGGAUAUUUAAGUCAGGGGUGUAAUCCCAGAGCUCAACUCUGGAACUGCCUUUGAUACUGGGUAUCUUGAGUAUGGAAGAGGUAAGUGGAAUUGCGAGU
rnacentral:rRNA from 1 species